rnacentral:tRNA from 1 species
GUGUAGCUUAGUGGUAGAGUGCUUGCCUAGCAUGCAUGAGGACCUGGGUUCGAUUCCUCGGUACCACA